rnacentral:rRNA from 1 species
UCAAAAACAUGGCCUUUAGAGGAGAAUUUAAGGUCGGGCCUGCCCACUGAAAUAGUUGAAGGGCCGCGGUAUUUUGACCGUGCAAAGGUAGCAUAAUCAUUAGUCUUUUAAUUGAGGGCUGGAAUGAAUGGUUUGACGAAAUAUUGACUGUCUCUUUAUAAUAAAUAGAAUUUAACUUUUGAGUCAAAAGGCUUAAAUGAAUGUAAAAGACGAGAAGACCCUAUAGAUCUUUAUAUAGUUCUAUAAUUGCUUUAUUUAGUUGUUUUAUUUACAAUUAUUCAACUAUAUUUUGUUGGGGUGACAUGAAGAUAAAAAUAACUCUUUAUAAUAAGAACAUUGAUUUAUGGAUGAUUGAUCCGUUAUUAACGAUUAUAAGAUAAAGUUACCUUAGGGAUAACAGCGUAAUUUUUUUUGAGAGUUCUUAUCGACAAAAAAGAUUGCGACCUCGAUGUUGGAUUAAGGAAUAUGAUUAGGUGUAGCAGUUUAAUUAAUAAGUCUGUUCGACUUUUAAAUCCUUACGUCAUCUGAU